UGCUGUCUGUCAUUCGACCGACUACAUCCAACUCAUCUCAAUCAAGCUAAACCGUUGUCCCUCCAAAUUCCUGCUUGGAUCUAUACUCGGAUUUGACAGCACCACCGGACAUGAGAAGCGCAACAGAGUGAUUGUGAAGGAGAGCACGUUAUGACGGUCGGCUACUCCAUAUCGGUCAUUCUAGUUGACGCAAAAACCAAUAAGUGGCGCGAACCGCAUCUCAAGGUCGAUCAGGACUUCAACCACUGUAGAUGCUUCGCAGACUUGAUAACACCAUAGGAAGUGCAGCGCACCUCAAGGUCGCUCAGAACUUCGAACCCGCCGAAAACGACUACAACCGGAGAUGGCAAUAACUGAGAACGAAACAACCGAAGAUGAUGAAAGGAAAAACAAUACAGUAAAACCUAAGAAGAAAAUAUAAUGUACAUUAUGAUUGACACUUACACUGACACACAUUCACGUAAGAAAUGAGUUAGCUGUAAGAUUAUUAGAUUUAAGUCCAUCAUACAUAAAAUUUUACACGCCAACAUUAUCCCCUUUCCCACAAAUCAUUACACAUAACAAUAGGGAAGAAACGAAAUGUAAAUAUUAGGUUUAAGUGGAAGAAAACGACUCAUGACUGUUAUUAGGAUAAGAUACACAGAACCCUUCCUUUUAUCCUUUCCCCUCACAAUUAAAAAUCAAACACACACACACA